UCUUUCUUUCCCUGACGUGGGGCCCCGCAGCUAUCUUCAACCUCAAGCCAAAAGUUCAUCCCACCUACGCGUAUGAACCAGAACCGAAAAUCUCCCUUUUUCUUCGCCGAUUCCGUUCGAUUCGUGCUCCUCUGCCACGAAAACCCUCCUAUAAAUACCUCAUAAUCUUCUCUGUAUUUUGCCCCUAAAAACCCUAAUUUUGGUGCCGCCAAGCUGCCAAAAUUUCUCACCGGAGUUCGCGCCGCCGCCACCGUCGCUGAGCUUCGAAGAGCACAACUCCAGUAAAACAUCGCCGGAGUUCAUCACCACACGAGCUGCUCCAUCCGCACGCAUCAGCCGCUCGGGGAGCAGAAAGAGGACGUGAAGACCGCUGCUGUGACCGCCGUCUCCUACCGCACCUCGUCGCCCCAAGCCCUUCAUUGUUCGUCUGAUCUUUUCCCCUGAAUCACCUCGUUGUUCUGAUUGUUCACCAUCUCGCGCAGAGCACCGUUGACGCGAGCCGUAUCCAUCGCCGAAGUUCUGCCGCAGCAAAGCUCGGUCAGCUAACUGCCAUCCUCGAUCGAGGAAGGAGGAGACGCUGAAUAUCCAGUCUUCGAGACCCCCGUGAAGCCCCGCAGCCCCGUCGACCACUACCCCAAGCCGGAGGAGCAUCUAGCCGACGUGAACGACUCUAACCCGCCAGGCCGGCACCGUCACGUCAACCAUGCCGAUAGUUCCAUCGUGCUGUGCUUAUAGUUGUAUGGAGAGAUACGCGUUUUGAUUGAGAGAAGGG